rnacentral:rRNA from 1 species
AACGAACGCUGGCGGCAUGCCUAACACAUGCAAGUCGAACGAGAACUUCGGGUCUAGUGGCGCACGGCUGCGUCACGCGUGGGAACAUGCACUUAGGUUCGGCAUAACUCUCAGACAGGGGUACUAAUACCGGACAAUGUCUUCGGACCAAAGAUAUAUCGAGUUUGGUUGGGCCCGCGUUGGAUUCGCUAGUUGGUAGGGUAAUAGCCUCUCACGGCGACGAUCAAUAGCUGGUCUGAGAGGAUGGUCAGCGACACUGGGACUGAGACACGGCCCAGACUCUUACGGGAUGCAGGAGAAGGUAAUAGUGGACAGCGGGGGGAAUGCUGAUCCAGCAAGGCCGGGUGAGUGAUGAUGGCAGUAGGGUUGUAAAGCGCUUGUAACCGGGAUGAUAAUGACAGUACCGGAAGAAUAAGCUCCGGCUAACUCCGUG